GCUCUGUUACCAUUGUUACUUAAUCAAACUCUAACAAAACAGAUUCUAACCACACAUAUACUAUAACCAGUCUCGCUAAUCACAUAUUUCUCUUUUUAUUGUUCUUUUUUAUUCUUCUGUGUGUUUUUGUGACGGAGCCCCAGCUCUGCAGUAAACAGUCAGAUCUGUGGUUGGGUCGCCUGAAGACUGUUCAUUAAAACUGGUAAGCUCUGUUACCAUUGUUACUUAAUCAAACUCUAACGAAACAGAUUCUAACCGUGCAUAUACUAUAACCAGUCUUGCUAACCGCAUAAUUUCUUUUUUAUUGUUCUUUUUUAUUCUUCUGUGUGUAUUUGUGACGGAGCCCCAGCUCUGCAGUAAACAGUCAGAUCUGUGGUUGGGUCGUCUGAAGACUGUUCACUAAAACUGGUAAGCUCUGUUACCAUUGUUACCUAAUCAGACUCUUCAACUAAACAUAUUCUAACCACAUAUAUACUCUAACCAGUAUCGCUAACCACAGAUUUCUCUUUCUGUCAUAUUUGUUAUUUUUUCUGUGUGUAUUUGUGACUGAGCCCCAGCUCUGCAGUGAACACUCAGAUCUGUGGUUGGGUCGUCUGAAGACUGUUCACAAAAGCUGCCCCAGCUGUGCAGGAAAGAGUCAGAUCUGUGAUUGGGCGAUCUGAAGACUGUUCACUAAAACUGAUUUUUCUGUGCCAAUUUGUUAGAUCUGUGAUUAGAUCAGUUAGAUCUGUGGUUGGGUCGUCUGAAGACUGUUCACAAAAACUGGUAGACUUCUCCUAUGGCUGUGUAUGUCUAUAGCAUGUUUAAGUGUUUCCAGAUGUAUACCAUAAGACCUUAUUUAAGCAGGUCCCCAAGUCCGGAGGGAGAGAGAGCAGGAACAUCAAAUUGGGCUACAUGUCUCUCCAGGGCUGGCCUAGGACCACCUUGAAGAUAUUGUCUUAGUCUUUGUAAUAAAAAAUUGUAUUGUA